UAGGGAAUCUUCGGCAAUGGGGGGAACCCUGACCGAGCAACGCCGCGUGAGUGAAGAAGGUUUUCGGAUCGUAAAGCUCUGUUGUUAAGGAAGAACGAGUGUGAGAAUGGAAAGUUCAUACUGUGACGGUACUUAACCAGAAAGGGACGGCUAACUACGUGCCAGCAGCCGCGGUAAUACGUAGGUCCCGAGCGUUGUCCGGAUGUAUUGGGCGUAAAGCGAGCGCAGGCGGUUAGAUAAGUCUGAAGUUAAAGGCAGUGGCUCAACCAUUGUAGGCUUUGGAAACUGUGUAACUUGAGUGCAGAAGGGGAGAGUGGAAUUCCAUGUGGAGCGGUGAAAUGCGUAAAUAUAUGGAGGAAAACCGGGGGCGAAAGGGGCUCUCUGGUCUGUAACUGACGCUGGGGCUCGAAAGCGUGGGGGGCGAACAGG
rnacentral:rRNA from 1 species